GACGAACGCUGGCGGCGUGCUUAACACAUGCAAGUCGAACGGAAAGGCCCUGCUUUUGUGGGGUGCUCGAGUGGCGAACGGGUGAGUAACACGUGAGUAACCUGCCCUUGACUUUGGGAUAACUUCAGGAAACUGGGGCUAAUACCGGAUAGGAGCUCCUGCUGGAUGGUGGGGGUUGGAAAGUUUCGGCGGUUGGGGAUGGACUCGCGGCUUAUCAGCUUGUUGGUGGGGUAGUGGCUUACCAAGGCUUUGACGGGUAGCCGGCCUGAGAGGGUGACCGGCCACAUUGGGACUGAGAUACGGCCCAGACUCCUACGGGAGGCAGCAGUGGGGAAUAUUGCACAAUGGGCGGAAGCCUGAUGCAGCAACGCCGCGUGCGAGAUGACGGCCUUCGGGUUGUAAACCGCUUUCGCCUGUGACGAAGCGUGAGUGACGGUAAUGGGUAAAGAAGCACCGGCUAACUACGUG
rnacentral:rRNA from 1 species